rnacentral:lncRNA from 1 species
UAAAAGAAAGGGUUAAAUGCAUACAACUCUCUGCAAAUAUAAUAAAUUAUAAAUAUACUUUUAUAAAUUUAAUUUUUAUAUAUUAUUUUUGUAAAAGUUUUAAUAUUUUCAAAUAUAUCCCUCUGAUUUUUUACCAUUAUAGAAAUGUUUAUAUUUUAAAUAAAAUGUUAUUUUUCUCAUUACAAAUAUGUUCCUCUAAAAACUACAACAGUAUAAUAUAAGAGGAGUAAAAAUAUCAAGUUAUCUCAUAAACUAAUCAAAAGGUUAAGCAUUUAACCUAUAGUUAACCAAAAUUUUCUAACAAAUUCUAACGGUAGGGAUAUAUUUGAAAAUAUUAGCACUUUUGUAGGAAUAACAUAUGAAAAUUGAACUUUAUAGAAAUAUAUUUAUAAUUUACUAUGUUUGUAGGAAUCUGUAUAAAAUUAACCCAAAAAAAGUAUGCAAAAACACACAAUCCGUCUUAACUAUGAAUUACUUUAAAUCAACUAUUCAAUUGUUUGAGAUUUUGAUAUUACUAUACAAUCUUUCAAUUUGUUUAGUUUCAGUCGGCGACACUUUGACUGUAAAAUCAAAACUAAUAAUUUAUUUUAGAAAAAAUAAAAUUGUGAGAAUUGCAUCAAAUACAUAUAUACUAGCUAAAUCUGUGAAUAUAAACAACGAAUUCAAAUUAUAAUAUUAGAGUAAUGUUGACUAACACAAAUCAAAUAAUUUGAAAGGUUGGAUAGUUAACUAAAAAUAGUCCGUAUUUUCAAUAAGUAUCAUAUAUUUUUAUUUUAUUAUUAAUAAUAUAUAUUUAUGAUUUUUAUUAUUAAAAUAUUAAAAACUAUAACAAAAUUAUUUAGGAAUAUUUUGG